AGUGCCAGCAGCCGCGGUAAUACGGGAGUGGCAAGCGUUAUCCGGAAUUAUUGGGCGUAAAGCGUCCGCAGGCGGCUUUUCAAGUCUGCUGUUAAAGCGUGGAGCUUAACUCCAUCAUGGCAGUGGAAACUGAAAGGCUUGAGUAUGGUAGGGGCAGAGGGAAUUCCCGGUGUAGCGGUGAAAUGCGUAGAUAUCGGGAAGAACACCAGUGGCGAAGGCGCUCUGCUGGGCCAUUACUGACGCUCAUGGACGAAAGCCAGGGGAGCGAAAGGGAUUAGAUACCCCUGUAGUCCUGGCCGUAAACGAUGAACACUAGGUGUCGGGGGAAUCGACCCCUUCGGUGUCGUAGCUACGCGUUAAGUGUUCCGCCUGGGGAGUACGCACGCAAGUGUGAAACUCAAAGGAAUUGACGGGGGCCCGCACAAGCGGUGGAGUAUGUGGUUUAAUUCGAUGCAACGCGAAGAACCUUACCAGGGUUUGACAUCCUGCGAACCUCUUAGAAAUUUGAGGGUGCCUUCGGGAAUGCAGUGACAGGUGGGUGCAUGGCUGUCGUCAGCUCGUGUCGUGAGAUGGUUGGGUUAAGUCUCGCAACGAGCGCAACCCACGUUUUUAGAUGCCAGCAUUUAGUUGGGCACUCUAGAAAGACCGCCGGUGAUAAACCGGAAGGAAGGGUGUGGAUGACGUCAAGUCAUCAUGCCCCUUACACCUGGGCUAACACGUACUACAUGCUACGGACAAGGGCAGCAACUCGCGAGAGCUAGCAAUCCAUAACCGGGACUCAGUCAGAUCGUAGCUGCACCCGCCUACGUGAGUAGAUCGCUAGUAUCGCAGGUCAGCUACUGCGGUGAAUACGUUCGGACCUGUACACCCGCCCGUCACCAUGAAGUGCAUGCCGAGCCGUUAUCCACCUUGGGAGAGGACCAGUGGCUUAGACUGGGGUGAGUCUAAAGGUACCGGCCUCGAACAGCAUCGGAUACCACAUGGGGCCCGGAAGAUCUAAGGCAGUCCCUAAGGCCUAUAUCUCGGCGCGAUUAACCCCCUAGACUGGUCCAUACCUGACCCUCCGGGCAAAGGAACGCCCUUA
rnacentral:rRNA from 1 species